rnacentral:misc_RNA from 1 species
GCAAAGUUGCACCAUGGUCAUUUAUCACAUGCAGAUGGCAAUGCGGAUUGGGUUUUAACUAUAUUUUCAGCACUAUCACUUGUAAUUGAUGUCCUGGAAUUUAUCCCUUCCCAUGUAGCGGUGGUGUUUGAUCAUGAUGGAGUUCCAUUCGAUCAUAAUUGUGUUUCAUUCAAAGAAAAUGUCAUGGCAAAAGGUUUGAAUUUUCGUCAUACUUUAUAUCCUUCAUACAAGAGCAACCGCCC